GUGUUACAUUCCUGGGCCUACACACCACGUUCUUCUGCUUCAUUAAUUAAUUGAUGAACAGUUGAGCUAAUUUUUUUUAAAUCUUUUUUGCUACUGCAAAAAUUGCUAUAAUAAGCAUUUAAAUACAAUAAUGAGCUUGAAUCCCUGUUGUCUUUUUUUUUCUAGAAAUGGAAUUGCUGGUUCAUAAAAGGUUUAACUUUGUGAGGAAUUGCCCAACUAUUUUGUGCAGCAGAGGGUCCUAAUGCCAUAUUACAUCCUGUGCCGGAAUACAUUAUGUCAAUGAAGUUCUGAUAACUGACAUUUAUCUUCUUUUUUAACUUUCCUUAUUGAGGGAUUAAUAAAUUACAGUUCAGUUGUUGACACAUGGGUAUACCCUUCUCCCUGUGAUAGUUUAGAAGAAUCUGUGUUUAUAUUUGGUAAUUUUAUUGAAAUUGUUCUUUUCUCUGACUACCUCUAUUAUCUUUGGUUUUUCUAUUCUAAAUUAUCUAUUGAUUAUAUAUACUUAAUAAGGAAUAACAAGACCAUAGAAUAAGAGGGGUACAAUUCCACACAAUUCCCACUACAAAAGUUCUGUAUCCUAUCCCCUCCAUUGGAAGCUUUCCUGUUUUUUUUUUUUUUUUUUUGUCCCUUUGGGAGCAUGGGCCCAGGAUCACUAUGGGUGCAAAAGAUGGAAGGUCUGGCUUCUGUAAUUGCUUCUCUGCUGGACAUGGGCUUUGGCAGGUUGGUUCAUACUCCCAGCCUAUUUCUAUCUUUUCCUAGUGGGCCAGCGGUCUGAGAGGUAGGGUUCCAGGGUACAUUGGUGAGAUAAUGUGCCCAGUGAAGUCAGGUUGGUGUCUUGGUAACAUCUGCAACUUGGUGGCUGAAAAAAGCAAUAAGAUAUAAAGCAGAACAAAUAGUUUAGUAAUGACUAUAACAGAUGAGAUUUGAGAUCUCCAUUUUGGAAAAGGUUAGUAGGUCUAUUUUAGGUAUAUUACAAUGGGCCAUGACUUUAAUAAUUUUUUCCUGAGCCUAAUAGCUAACAUGCAGGUGGGUUAAAGGUAUUGUCUGGGAAGAUGGUGUCAGAGUUGGGAAUAGGACUAGGAAGCUCUAUCAGGGUAGAGAGUAGCGUUCAAAUAUAGGAAAAGCAUAUAAAUAUUGUUAACUAUAAAUCCCAUCAAUUUGAACUGGGGCCCAUAUACAGCACAGGAGCCUGUGUAACCUCUACAUACCUAUAGGUCUGAGCUCAAAUUCUGUGAUCAUGGCUAGGAACAUUCUAGAUUGCACUCAUUGCAGGACCCAUCUUCCUUGAGUGGCAGAGCAUGUUGACCAACCUCCCUUCAGAGACUGGGGAACUCCCUACCAAUGCUGACCCAUAUUGAGGGCAGGGUCCUGUAGAUGCCCACAAGAGCAUCCACAGUGCUGUUCCUGAUGGAGAUGACCAGCGUUGGUGAAGACAGUGAUCUGCUUUUAAUCCAUUCAGCAAGUUUGGUAAAUCUUUUGACUGGUGAAUUUAAUCCAUUUACAUUUAAAGUCAUUAUUGAGAAAGGUGGUUUGCUUUAUUUAGCCUUUCUGGUUUUAGUUUUGAGGUUAUUUUAUGUUCUGGUUGAAUCUUUUCCCGUUUAUUUUAUUUUAUUUUUCUGUUUCUUACUAUGUUACUAUGGAGAUGGUUUUUUUGUCAAGGUAUUGCCUCCUGUUUAUAUGUUUCCUAUUUGUCUCUCUGUUGUAUUCUGUUUUGUCAUUAUCAUGAUUAUUGUGUCUGACAAUUUCUACAAGAUUCUUUUUAAAAGUUGACCUUGGUUCACCAACAUUGGACUGUGUUUCCUUAUUGUUGUGAUGCUGGUUUCACUCUAAUACUAAUUAUCCCAUUAAAAUUUGGAAUUAUUUUGCUUCUUCUUUUCUUGUGGGACUCCUUUCAAUAAUUCUUUCAAGAUAUGAUUGGUAGUGGCAAAUUCCUUCAGUUUAUGAAUAUUUAAAUAUAUAUUUAUUUCCCCCUCAUAUUUGGAAUAUUAAUGACUGGAAAUUCUUACCUUUUAGUACUUUGAAUAUGCCAUUCCAUUUCCUCCUUACUUCUAAGGUUUGUGAUAAGAAAUCUUAAGAAAGCUUGAUGGUUCUACAUUUUUAUGUAACUUUCUCCCUUUACUGUGAAGCCUGCAAUAUUUUUCCUUGUCCCUGCUUUUAGGUAGUUUUAAGAUGAUGUGCUUUGUUGUGUGCCAUUUUGGAUUCAAGAAUUUAGGUGUGCUUCACCGUCUUGUAUUCCUAUAUUUGAAAUUGCUCAAGUAUGGAAAAUUUUCCUAUAUAGCUUCUAUGAAUAUUUUCUCUUUUCCUUUCUACCUCUCUUCAUCCUCAGUGACCACAAUAACUCUGAUGUUCAUCAUCUUUCGGAUAGAGUCAUUUUUCCUAAACCAUUAUUUUCCAAGAGUUUUAAAUUCAUAGAGUGUGGUGGUUGUGUCUUCUAGCACUGAUAUUCUCAAUUCCACCUGCUUAAGUCUACUUCUGAGGCCUCUUAACCUGAACUGCAUUCAAAGUGUCCUUUAGGUACUUCAGUUCUCUUUGUACUCUGUAAUUAUUUGGUAAAUUAUAAAUUGAUCACUGAGUUCUUGAUUCAUAAUAAAAUUGAAUUGAUUUCAUAGUGA